rnacentral:rRNA from 1 species
CUGCGAUAAGCGCCGGUAAGGUGAUAUGAACCGUUAUAACCGGCGAUACCCGAAUGGGGAAACCCAGUGUGAUUCGUCACACUAUCAUUAACUGAAUCCAUAGGUUAAUGAGGCGAACCGGGGGAACUGAAACAUCUAAGUACCCCGAGGAAAAGAAAUCAACCGAGAUUCCCCCAGUAGCGGCGAGCGAACGGGGAGGAGCCCAGAGCCUGAAUCAGCAUGUGUGUUAGUGGAAGCGUCUGGAAAGGCGCGCGAUACAGGGUGACAGCCCCGUACACAAAAGCGCAUGUGCUGUGAGCUCGAUGAGUAGGGCGGGACACGUGGUAUCCUGUCUGAAUAUGGGGGGACCAUCCUCCAAGGCUAAAUACUCCUGACUGACCGAUAGUGAACCAGUACCGUGAGGGAAAGGCGAAAAGAACCCCGGCGAGGGGAGUGAAAAAGAACCUGAAACCGUGUACGUACAAGCAGUG